rnacentral:rRNA from 1 species
UACGUAGGGUCCAAGCGUUAUCCGGAAUCACUGGGCGUAAAGCGUGCGUAGGUGGAUGCUUAAGUGAGUUGUUAAAUCGUGUGGCUCAACCAUAUCGAUGCAAUUCAUACUGGGCGUCUAGAGGACAGCAGAGGCAAGUGGAAUUUGUAGUGUAGCAGUGAAAUGCGUAGAUAUUACAAGGAACACCAAUGGCGAAGGCAGCUCGCUGGGCUACUCCUGACACUGAGGUACGAAAGCGUGGGGAGCGAACAGG